CGGACGCAGCUGAGCCCUCCCGUGACAAGACACGAGCGGCAAACCGGGCAUGCCCGCCACCCCACCCCAUCCCCGGUUUCUCCCCUGUUUUCACAGUGGCUCCGUGGCUGGACCGGACUCCCGACGUCGCGCAUGAAUUGAAACCGCAGCAGAACUGGCGUCACGUUAGUGAGCUGCGGGCAUGAUGCACGGACGACCGGCCACGCACACGCCGCUGCAGAGGAGGGGGUUAUCCAAAGACUGCGAAAGAAAAAGCAGAGAGCGGGCCCGCAGUGGAGGACCAGACCGGAGCAGGGAGGAGAGACAGGGCGGAAGGAGGAGAGAAGAGGAUGAUGGACAGAAGACGCAGGUUCGCUUCUGAAAUAAAUUUAGAAAAAAGAAAAUAUCCAUUCACAUUGAAGCACAGAGAAUGGCUGAGUAAACCCAUGAAAGUUGUAAAAGGUGACACCAAACAACCAGAAAUGGAGACAAAAAAAUACAAGAGUGAUUCUAUAAUUAGGGGUUUAAGUCAUAUCCAUAUUUAUCAGUUUGAUCAACUACUGACUUCAGCCAAUGAAUGAAGAUUCAGACGUCUGAUUUAUUUUCACAAAAACAGUAAUAAGAAAUAUUAUCAGAUGCUUACUUCCCAAAAUAAAUAAAAGCCUGUGAAAAGAAAGUAAAUCUUCUGUGUCCCUUGAUAUGAUCAUGUCAAAAACUCAGCUUGGCAUGACAAUAAUCUCCUACAUCAUGUUUUCCUUUUUUCUAACUGUGUGUGUGGGGGUACUUUUUUGAAAAGAAUCUUACCACAUUGGCA